GGGUUGUGAGGUUAAGCGACUAAGCGUACACGGUGGAUGCCCUGGCAGUCAGAGGCGAUGAAGGACGUGCUAAUCUGCGAAAAGCGCCGGCGAGGUGAUAUGAACCUUUGACCCGGCGAUGUCCGAAUGGGGAAACCCAGUGUGAUUCGUCACACUAUCGUUAACUGAAUACAUAGGUUAACGAGGCGAACCGGGGGAACUGAAACAUCUAAGUACCCCGAGGAAAAGAAAUCAACCGAGAUUCCCCCAGUAGCGGCGAGCGAACGGGGAGCAGCCCAGAGUCUGAAUCAGCUUGUGUGUUAGUGGAAGCGUCUGGAAAGUCGCACGGUACAGGGUGACAGUCCCGUACACGAAAGCACACAGGUUGUGAACUCGAAGAGUAGGGCGGGACACGUGGUAUCCUGUCUGAAUAUGGGGGGACCAUCCUCCAAGGCUAAAUACUCCUGACUGACCGAUAGUGAACCAGUACCGUGAGGGAAAGGCGAAAAGAACCCCGGCGAGGGGAGUGAAAAAGAACCUGAAACCGUGUACGUACAAGCAGUGGGAGCACCUUCGGGUGUGACUGCGUACCUUUUGUAUAAUGGGUCAGCGACUUAUAUUCUGUAGCAAGGUUAACCGUAUAGGGGAGCCGAAGGGAAACCGAGUCUUAACUGGGCGUUAAGUUGCAGGGUAUAGACCCGAAACCCGGUGAUCUAGCCAUGGGCAGGUUGAAGGUUGGGUAACACUAACUGGAGGACCGAACCGACUAAUGUUGAAAAAUUAGCGGAUGACUUGUGGCUGGGGGUGAAAGGCCAAUCAAACCGGGAGAUAGCUGGUUCUCCCCGAAAGCUAUUUAGGUAGCGCCUCGUGAACUCAUCUUCGGGGGUAGAGCACUGUUUCGGCUAGGGGGCCAUCCCGGCUUACCAACCCGAUGCAAACUACGAAUACCGAAGAAUGUUAUCACGGGAGACACACGGCGGGUGCUAACGUCCGUCGUGAAGAGGGAAACAACCCAGACCGCCAGCUAAGGUCCCAAAGUCAUGGUUAAGUGGGAAACGAUGUGGGAAGGCACAGACAGCCAGGAUGUUGGCUUAGAAGCAGCCAUCAUUUAAAGAAAGCGUAAUAGCUCACUGGUCGAGUCGGCCUGCGCGGAAGAUGUAACGGGGCUAAACCAUGCACCGAAGCUGCGGCAGCGACGCUUAUGCGUUGUUGGGUAGGGGAGCGUUCUGUAAGCCGUUGAAGGUGUGCUGUGAGGCAUGCUGGAGGUAUCAGAAGUGCGAAUGCUGACAUAAGUAACGAUAAAGCGGGUGAAAAGCCCGCUCGCCGGAAGACCAAGGGUUCCUGUCCAACGUUAAUCGGGGCAGGGUGAGUCGACCCCUAAGGCGAGGCCGAAAGGCGUAGUCGAUGGGAAACAGGUUAAUAUUCCUGUACUUGGUGUUACUGCGAAGGGGGGACGGAGAAGGCUAUGUUAGCCGGGCGACGGUUGUCCCGGUUUAAGCAUGUAGGCGGAACGAUUAGGUAAAUCCGGUCGUUUUUUAACGCUGAGGUGUGAUGACGAGGCACUACGGUGCUGAAGUAACAAAUGCCCUGCUUCCAGGAAAAGCCUCUAAGCAUCAGGUAACAUCAAAUCGUACCCCAAACCGACACAGGUGGUCAGGUAGAGAAUACCAAGGCGCUUGAGAGAACUCGGGUGAAGGAACUAGGCAAAAUGGUGCCGUAACUUCGGGAGAAGGCACGCUGAUAUGUAGGUGAAGCCCCUGCGGGUGGAGCUGAAAUCAGUCGAAGAUACCAGCUGGCUGCAACUGUUUAUUAAAAACACAGCACUGUGCAAACACGAAAGUGGACGUAUACGGUGUGACGCCUGCCCGGUGCCGGAAGGUUAAUUGAUGGGGUUAGCGGUAACGCGAAGCUCUUGAUCGAAGCCCCGGUAAACGGCGGCCGUAACUAUAACGGUCCUAAGGUAGCGAAAUUCCUUGUCGGGUAAGUUCCGACCUGCACGAAUGGCGUAAUGAUGGCCAGGCUGUCUCCACCCGAGACUCAGUGAAAUUGAACUCGCUGUGAAGAUGCAGUGUACCCGCGGCAAGACGGAAAGACCCCGUGAACCUUUACUAUAGCUUGACACUGAACACUGGUCCUUGAUGUGUAGGAUAGGUGGGAGGCUUUGAAGUGUGGACGCCAGUCUGCAUGGAGCCGUCCUUGAAAUACCACCCUUUAAUGGCUGGUGUUCUAACGUAGACCCGUAAUCCGGGUUGCGGACAGUGUCUGGUGGGUAGUUUGACUGGGGCGGUCUCCUCCCAAAGAGUAACGGAGGAGCACGAAGGUUAGCUAAUCCUGGUCGGACAUCAGGAGGUUAGUGCAAUGGCAUAAGCUAGCUUGACUGCGAGAGUGACGGCUCGAGCAGGUGCGAAAGCAGGUCAUAGUGAUCCGGUGGUUCUGAAUGGAAGGGCCAUCGCUCAACGGAUAAAAGGUACUCCGGGGAUAACAGGCUGAUACCGCCCAAGAGUUCAUAUCGACGGCGGUGUUUGGCACCUCGAUGUCGGCUCAUCACAUCCUGGGGCUGAAGUAGGUCCCAAGGGUAUGGCUGUUCGCCAUUUAAAGUGGUACGCGAGCUGGGUUUAGAACGUCGUGAGACAGUUCGGUCCCUAUCUGCCGUGGGCGCUGGAGAAUUGAGGGGGGCUGCUCCUAGUACGAGAGGACCGGAGUGGACGCAUCACUGGUGUUCGGGUUGUCAUGCCAAUGGCACUGCCCGGUAGCUAAAUGCGGAAAAGAUAAGUGCUGAAAGCAUCUAAGCACGAAACUUGCCCCGAGAUGAGUUCUCCCUGAGACUUUAAGUCUCCUGAAGGAACGUUAAAGACGAUGACGUUGAUAGGUCGGGUGUGUAAGCGCAGCGAUGCGUUGAGCUAACCGAUACUAAUGAACCGUGAGGCUUAACCUUACAACGCCGAAG
rnacentral:rRNA from 1 species